GAUGAACGCUAGCGGAAGGCUUAAUACAUGCAAGUCGAGCGGUAGGUGGCUUCGGCCAUUGAGAGCGGCGCACGGGUGAGUAACGCGUACAUGACCUGCCUGUCAGAAGGGGAUAGCCCUGGGAAACUGGGAUUAAUACCCUAUGGUAUUGAUAUUAUGAAUGAUAUCAAUUAAAGUUGAGGCGCUGACAGAUGGAUGUGCGUCUGAUUAGCUAGUUGGUAGGGUAACGGCCUACCAAGGCGACGAUCAGUAGGGGGCGUGAGAGCGUGGUCCCCCACACGGGUACUGGGACACGGACCCGACUCCUACGGGAGGCAGCAGUAAGGAAUAUUGGUCAAUGCCCGCAAGGGUGAACCAGCCAUUCCGCGUGGAGGAUGAAGGCCCUAUGGGUUGUAAACUUCUUUUAGAUGGGAAGAAAAUGCUAGAUGUAUCUGGUACUGACGGUACCAUCAGAAUAAGCACCGGCUAACUCCGUGCCAGCAGCCGCAGUAAUAC
rnacentral:rRNA from 1 species